CUGAUACUGCGCCUGUAUCGUCGUACAUGGUGAAUGACUCCCAUGAAUCCCUGGAAAUUUCGUUGCCACCCUUGUCCAUCUUAUUUGGUGUCCGUACUUCAAAUGCCACAUUCAAUUGUAGAUGCACGUUUCAACUGCAGAGAACUCCGCCAAGUUUAGCCGUCAAGAAGGUUCCGUAAAUCAUUUUGGUAGGAACCCGAGGAAAUUCGUCUUGAAAAUGAAAGAUAAUGCGGUAUCGCCACAGGGGAUAUGAAAUCACAAUGAGAGUACCGAAAGAGGCGGAGUCGGGCGCCCAUUAGAGGGAAAUUCCUAAGUUCCAUUGAAGAAGACUGGUUGGAAAAGAUAAAGCAAUAAACGAAUAAAAAAAUGAAAAUCUCGAAGAAAAGACCAGACGGGUAAUACGGAAAAGAUGAACUGCGUGAUGGUCGCAGGAAAAUCGAAAAUAAUCAGCAAAUUCCAAAAAUGUAUUCCAAACGACGACCAUAUAUAAAUGUUGCAUUAUCUGAAUAUUAUUUAUUAUAAUCAACAACUCCAGUGGAGAGCCCUGAGUUCCCUGGAGAAAAAAAUAUGUAGUAAAAAAACACAGCUGUGGGGAAAUUUUCUUAUGAGGUAUCUCACGAAUGUAUUGAACUUCUUGACAAUCUAAAUGGUGUGGAAAUACCUGAUGGUUAAUUAAUCUUAUCUCUAAAAAUGUAAAGUAAUCUCCUUCGACCAUUAUAUUGUAUUUAAAUUUCCACUAGAGUGUGGGCAACAUGGCAACCUGUCUAGAGACCCUAGUUUGGGUGGCGCUAGUAAGAUAAAUUCAAAAAUGCUCAGAUGUUUUGAUUUUUAAGGUUAUCAAGAAGUUUUCCAAUCAAAUUCCCGGUCUUUAACUGUAAUCUGGACUUGUUUUCUCAAUUUGUGUCCGAAAGAGCUUUCAGAUUAUUGAAAUAUUUACUUGUAAAUAUUUCCUCGGCACUUCGUAUUUACAGAAUUUCAAUAACAAUAAAAAACAUUGACAAGUAAUAAAACUCUUCAAUAACAAUGGCAUCAGGACUGGAAAGCUAUGUCAAUCAUACUGUGUCAAUUAUCACAUCAGACGGACGAAACUUCAUCGGAACUCUCAAAGGGUUUGAUCAGACGAUUAAUCUAAUUCUCGACGAAUCUCACGAACGAGUCUAUAGUUUAACACAAGGAGUUGAACAAGUUGUUUUGGGUUUGCACAUCAUUAGAGGAGAUAAUGUAGCAAUUGUUGGAGAAUUGGACGAGGAAAUCGAUUCGCGUCUGGACCUUGGAUCAAUCAGAGCUGAACCCCUCACAUCAGUGGCCCACUGAUGAGACCAGACAAAUUGUAAUCAUACAUUCAGUCAUGUUUUAAUUGUGAUUAGAAGUGAAUCACAAAAAUGCUCGCCAACUAUGAUAAGACAAUGCUUGACCAUCCCCUAAUCAAUACCUAUAUUAUGCAUUAUUGUCCUCCAUAAUUCAACCGGUAUAUUCAAGGGGGAAUGACUAAUGUUUUCGAUCCCACUGCCGAAGGAAUAUUAAUGACAAGAGGAUGAAAAAAAUGAAUAA